CGGUCCCGGUUCCGCUCCCCGGGCUCUCAGAACCGACCCACCGUAUCCGCUCCGCGUUGCUCCGAUGCUGAGCGCUGCCAACCGGCGGCUCGUCGUUAGGGGAGGGGCUCCUCGCGGCCGCCCGCUCCGCGCAACCGGCGGCUGCGGCUGGAAGCGCUGUGCCACCACGUCGGAGCGACCACGGAGACAGCACAGAGCCCCUCUGCCAUCCAUAGAGCCAGCACAGAGCAACCACAGAGCCCCUCUGCCAUCCAUAAAGCCAGCACCGAGCCCUGGCUGCCACCGAGCCACCUCAAAGCUGCCCUCAUUACCACCAGCACAGCCAUGGAGUACGACCACCACUGCCCUAUCUGGCUACAGGAGUGCUUGCUGAGGAAAGGAGGCUGUUAAUGGCUGGGACACAAGUCACCCCAGCUAAGUGCCCACAUCAUCUAGCUUGGAGUGAAAACACUGUCCUCUUCUGACAGCCAGCGUUGCUCAAUCUAAUGGAUUCCUAUCAAAGCAUUUCUUUCAACCAACUGGCGCUUUAUCAAGGAAUCCCCAACCUGCCUGGAUUUUUUCCACUUGAAAGCAAGAGCCAAGAGCUGGAAGAGAUCCUCAUCUGAACAAUAACACUGCAGAAGCUGUACAGAGCAAGGCUUCAGCCAACGGGCUGAACAGAAUAGAAGAGCUCUAUCAAAAGAGAUGUAUUUCUUUGCACCAGGCCUUAGGAGAAAUCAACAGAGCCAGAGAUCAUGGCAUGUCAGUGUGCUAGAGCAGUGGCUUUCCACACAGGAGGACGACCCCAUAUUUUUGGAUUUAGAACGACUUCACAGCAUAUCUCCCUGACAUUUGUUUGUUGGCUGAUUUAUCGCACCAAGUGCCAGCCUGACUUCCUGCCAUCAGUAACACAGCGCUGUCAAUAUCUGGGCAUUGAGAUCAUUUGUCUGGCUGGUUCAUCUAUUCUCGGAGUGCUUUCUCACUUAGGAGUGAACACUGCCAUAAAGAACUGUCUCUAACACACAGCAAAACCAUUAACAACUACUGGUGGAAAGCAAUGGUGCAAUGGAGUUAUUAGCCCCAUAGCACCCUCCCACAAUGGCCAAGGAGACCCAUGGUUAUCAGGCCCAGGUACCAGCUCCCCCAGCAUUGCCACGUGCCAGGGGAUACUGAGGUCAGUGUUGCUGUAAGUGACUUGUGCCAGCCUGACACAAAGCCACAUUUCUGGGGUCUCAGCAGGGAAGUGAAGCUUCAGUUGAAGCAUCACCCUUAGGAGGCACCGAUUCUUUUGCCUAGUGCAGGGAACAGAGCUUGAGAAUCUGAAAGGAGCCAUGGUCACGUCAUUGCUUGAGGGAGAUAGAACUGGGAGAAACUGGGCAAUCAAGAUAGAAAAAGUACAGCUUCCAAAUGCGUAUCGUCAUCCGACUAAUCCCUGCCUCUCCCCCUGCUGCCUCCUCUGCUGAUGCUCCAGUCCCCACUUCAAUACCUGCCAGGUCCUCUUAGAGAGCUGACAUUUCCAUUCCUGACAUUUUCUGCAGCUCCAUCUGGGAAUUAAUGGCCGGAUAUUAGCAGCGAUGGGGCCGUUUAUCAUAAUUAGUCUCACGAAGCUACGAAGCAUCCAACUAUUUUUCAUCAGCACCGAGGAAAUAAACUGCAGAAUCCAGUAGAUGCGACGGACGAUUUAUUUAUUGAUUGAUUUAUUUUGGUCUGUCAGGAUGUGGCUUUAAAGCUUGCCGAGAUGAGCAAUGCUUCUCCAAGGCGAUGACGACAGCGAGGCUGCUCGCCUUGGGUGCACAAGCAGCAGGAAAAAGGCCUUGAACCCCUCCAAUAAGGAGGCAUUUGGUACCUUACAUCUGCUCUGCUGCUAUGGAAUGACAAGUGGCUGCUGGUUGAGACCUGCUAUGAAAAGCCCAUGAGGAGAGAGCUGCCAGCUACAUCAUGGCAUCAGGAAUGGAAGUGUGUGCUUUUCUUCUCCAUAAGGAAAGAAAACACUGAGUGCAGCUGCAGAAGAUGGGACGAGGACCAGCACCUCUAGGACUGCCAUGUGGAGGGCCAUGCCAGGUGGUCCUGGCACCAUCAGUACCUGCUCUGGGGAAGCUUUGUGUUGGAGGAAACAAAAGCAAAGUCCCUCCUGCAGCCCAUCUGAACGAGGAAAGUGAGAUUCAGUGGGGGUGCCUGGUGUUACCACAGAGCCUGGUGGAGAUGGAGUGGGGAAGAAACCAGCGUGGGCCCAGUGUUGUGCUGAAUUUUAUGCUGCUGUGGAUGUUGCAGGCUGGGCUGUGUUGUCUCUUGCUUCUGCCCAAGCACGCACAGGGCAUUUCUGCAUGGGACUCAUUGAAGGUGUUAAAUGCAGCCAGAGCUACAGCACCUGCGGCUCUGCUGGAGUGCAAUGGGUUUCUCUGCUUUCAGAUAUGAAGUGCAGUGAGAUCCGUAAGUCAGAGGCUUCAGCAUGAAACUAUUUCCUUGGGAUCACUGCUGGCAGAGAGAAACAGAGAGAUAUUAUCAGAAAUUCGCCGCUAAAAUACAAUCCAUAUCCUCAGCCUUCAGAUCGAUGAGAGAAAAAGAAAUCCAUCCAAUGACUUUCCUGCAGCACAGCAGAGCGCUCCGGGAGAUGAUUCAAUAGCAGCAGCUCUGCCCUCCACGUGCUGUGUUUGUGCCUUGCCCUGCUGGGUGCAGCUGCUGCCCCAGAGCUGGGCACUCACUGCCUCAGUGGGUGACGUGCUCUGUGAGUGCUACUGGUAUAGGCAAGUUAUUGCUGCUAAUGGAACAUACUUGAAGACAAAGCAGUGUCAGCCCUCCAGCAGAUGACACACUCAGUGUUCAGAACCCACCUUUAUCCAUAUCCUCUGGGCUAUUCCAGCUCACCACCUCCACACUGGCUUUUUCUACCACCAGCAGCUCGCUCGGACCCCGAAAUCACAAGAGAUCAGUGGUAAUAAAGGCAGCAAAUCCCUCCUUUCUGGCUUUAAGCUCAGCCUUGUGCUGCAGACAACACUGCGCAUCGCUUCCACCGCCAUCCAUCAAGGACAGCCCAUCGCAGCCGCCGACAAAGCCCAUCAUUUCAGCCGCGCGCUUCCAUCGCCUCCAAAUCAGCGGCUGAUGAUACACAGAAGCGUUGCAAUAAAUGUUUAUGGCAGCGCU